rnacentral:rRNA from 1 species
UACAGAGGGUGCAAACGUUGCUCGGAAUCAUUGGGCGUAAAGCGCACGUAGGCGGUCCAGCAAGCGGGGAGUGAAAGCCCUCGGCUUAACCGAGGAAGUGCUUUCCGAACUACUGGACUUGAGUACUGAAGAGGGUCGCGGAAUUCCCGGUGUAGAGGUGAAAUUCGUAGAUAUUGGGAAGAACACCGGUGGCGAAGGCGGCGACCUGGUCCGAUACUGACGCUCAGGCGACGAAAGCGCGGGGGAGCAAACGG